rnacentral:rRNA from 1 species
AGAUAGUCCUUGGACUUGAUUUGAAUAAAAAAAAUUAUUAUAUAUUAUUUUAAAUAAAAUAAUAUUUUAUUUAUUAUUUAAAUAGAAAUGUAAAAUUUUAUUAUAGUAAAUUAGUAAUGUGAAUGAAAGAUUUUAUAUAAUUAAAAGAAAAAUUGAUUUUUUGUACCUUGUGUAUCAGGGUUUAUUAACUAAAAAUUUUAUAUAGAAUUUUCUCGAAUUAAAAAGAGUUAAUAUAAUAUUAAUUUUAAUGUAAAAUUAUUAUUUAAAAUAUUAUAUUAGUAAUGAAACGUUAUUCGUUUUUUAAUAUAUCUAGUUUUUUAAGAAAUAAAUUUAAUUUAUCCAUUAAAAAUUAAGUUUUUAAAUUUUAAAUUAUUUAAUUUUAAUGAGAAAUAUUUUUAGGGAUAAGCUUAAAAAUAUAAUAUUAUAAGUUUUUGAAUAUUUUAUUAAAAAUAGGAUUAGAAAUUUCCAUUUAUUAUAUUAUGUAAAAAUUAAUAUUAAAAAAAUGAAUAUUUAUAUUAAAAUUUAAUUAUUUUAUUAAAAUUAUUUAUAUAAUUAAUUAAUAAAUUUAAUUAUGAUAAAAUUAGUAUAAUUAAAUGUAUAAAUUAAUUAAUAAGGUUAAGAUUAAUUAAAGGAACUCGGCAAAUUUAUUGUUCGCCUGUUUAUUAAAAACAUGUCUUUUUGAUUAUAAUUUAAAGUCUAAUCUGCCCAAUGAGGAAUUUAAUGGCUGCAGUAUUUUGACUGUACAAAGGUAGCAUAAUCAUUAGUUUCUUAAUUAGAAAAUAGUAUGAAUGAUUGGACGAGAUAAUAGCUGUCUCUGGUUAAAUAAUAGAAUUUUAUUUUUAAGUUAAAAAGCUUAAAUUUUCUUAAAAGACGAGAAGACCCUAUAGAGUUUAAUAUUUUAAUUUUAUAUGAUUUUAAGUAAUAAAAAUUAUAGGAAUAAAGAAUAUUUUGUUGGGGUGACAAAAAAAUUUAAAUAACUUUUUAUAUUAUAUACAUUGAUAUAUGAAUAAUUGAUCCAAUAAUAUUGAUUAAAAGAAAAAAUUACCUUAGGGAUAACAGCGUAAUUUUUUUUGAGAGUUCUUAUCAAAAAAAGAGAUUGCGACCUCGAUGUUGGAUUAAAAUUUAAUUUUGGUGCAGAAGCUAAAAAAAUUGGGUCUGUUCGACCCUUGAAAUUUUACAUGAUCUGAGUUUAAACCGGUGUAAGCCAGGUUGGUUUCUAUCUUUAAAAUUAAAUGAUAUUUUAGUACGAAAGGACCAAGUAUCUAUAAUAGUUAUUUUAUAUGAGUAAAAUUAUUAUUUU